rnacentral:rRNA from 1 species
CACGUAGGCACCAAGCGUUGUCCGGAUUUAUUGGGCGUAAAGAGCUCGUAGGCGGUUCGGUAAGUCUGUCGUGAAAUCCCCGGGCUCAACCUGGGAAUGGCAAUGGAAACUGGCGGGCUAGAGUGUGGCAGAGGGGGGUGGAAUUCCGCGUGUAGCAGUGAAAUGCGUAGAGAUGCGGAGGAACACCGAUGGCGAAGGCAGCCCCCUGGGCUAGCACUGACGCUCAGGCACGAAAGCGUGGGGAGCAAACAGG